UCUAGUUGUCAUGUCAAAAAACUACUUAGACAGACUAUGAAGAGAUACAUAGGGUGAGAAACGGAGGCCUUCAGCCAACAGCUGGGAGAAGCUGAGUCCCAUCAGCCAUUCAAAAGACUGCAGCCCCAGCCAAGAGUUUGAUGUAACCUCAGGAGAGACCCUGAGCCAGAACCACCUAGGCCAACGAGCUAUACCUAGUGAUUCCAAAGUCCACAUAUAUUUACUCUGUUCUCACUGUACAAAGUAACCACUCUGAAGUCAAAAAAGCUGGGAUACAUGAAGACUGCCAUCCCUUGAGUCACUUGCCCUGUAGCUGCCACUGUUGGAAAAGGGCUUGCUUCUGUGUCCUUGUGCCCACUUUGAAAAUCCCUGGGAAGUCCUUGGAGUCAGAUGAGCAGGCCUCCGCCACUCUGCCAAAAAGUCUGUUCACAAUGGUGCUUCUACAAUUUCCUUAUAGGAGGAGUGAAGAGUAAGCAUUUGGAUUGGACCAGGAUUUGGAGAACUUGUCAUGUUGCUCUACGUGCAUAUGAAAUACAUCAUUGUAACUUAGAAUGUGAAUUACAGAACAAACAUGAAAGUUAGAAAAAUAUUCU
rnacentral:lncRNA from 1 species